GUGGGGAAUAUUGGACAAUGUGCGAAAGCCUGAUCCAGCCAUGCCGCGUGUGUGAAGAAGGUCUUCGGAUUGUAAAGCACUUUAAGUUGGGAGGAAGGGCAGUAAGUUAAUACCUUGCUGUUUUGACGUUACCGACAGAAUAAGCACCGGCUAACUUCGUGCCAGCAGCCGCGGUAAUACGAAGGGUGCAAGCGUUAAUCGGAAUUACUGGGCGUAAAGCGCGCGUAGGUGGUUUUGUAAGUUGGAGGUGAAAUCCCCGGGCUCAACCUGGGAACUGCCUCCAAAACUACUGAGCUAGAGUACGGUAGAGGGUAGUGGAAUUUCCUGUGUAGCGGUGAAAUGCGUAGAUAUAGGAAGGAACACCAGUGGCGAAGGCGACUACCUGGACUGAUACUGACACUGAGGUGCGAAAGCGUGGGGAGCAAACAGGAUUAGAAACCCUGGUAGUCC
rnacentral:rRNA from 1 species